rnacentral:rRNA from 1 species
GUGAGGAAUAUUGGUCAAUGGGCGCAAGCCUGAACCAGCCAUGCCGCGUACAGGAAGACGGUCCUAUGGAUUGUAAACUGCUUUUAUUUGGGAAUAAACUCCGGUACGUGUACCGGCCUGAAGGUACCAAAUGAAUAAGCACCGGCUAACUCCGUGCCAGCAGCCGCGGUAAUACGGAGGGUGCAAGCGUUAUCCGGAAUCAUUGGGUUUAAAGGGUCCGCAGGCGGUCUUAUAAGUCAGUGGUGAAAGCCUACAGCUCAACUGUAGAACUGCCAUUGAUACUGUAGGACUUGAAUUCGAUCGAAGUGGGCGGAAUGUGACAUGUAGCGGUGAAAUGCUUAGAUAUGUCACAGAACACCGAUAGCGAAAGCAGCUCACUAGGUCUGGAUUGACGCUCAGGGACGAAAGCGUGGGGAGCAAACAGGAUUAGAAACCCGAGUAGUCC